CGGUUGAUCCUGCCGGACCNGACUGCUAUCGGAUUGAUACUAANCCAUGCGAGUCAUUGUAGUAAUACAAGGCAGACGGCUCAGUAACGCGUAGUCAACCUACCCUAUGGACGGGGAUAACCUCGGGAAACUGAGAAUAAUACCCGAUAGAACAUUAUGCCUGGAAUGGUUUAUGUUUCAAAUAAUUUAUUGCCGUAGGAUGGGACUGCGGCCUAUCAGUUUGUUGGUGAGGUAAUGGCCCACCAAGACUAUUACAGGUACGGGCUCUGAGAGGAGUAGCCCGGAGAUGGGUACUGAGACACGGACCCAGGCCCUAUGGGGCGCAGCAGGCGAGAAAACUUUGCAAUGUGCGAAAGCACGACAAGGUUAAUCCGAGUGGUUUCUGCUAAAGGAACCUUUUGUCAGUCCUAGAAACACUGGUGAAUAAGGGGUGGACAAGUUCUGGUGUCAGCCGCCGCGGUAAAACCAGCACCUCAAGUGGUCAGGAUGAUUAUUGGGCCUAAAGCAUCCGUAGCCUGCUUUGUAAGUCUUCGGUUAAAUCCAUACGCUCAACGUAUGGGCUGCCGGGAAUACUGCAAAGCUAGGGAGUGGGAGAGGUAGACGGUACUCGGUAGGAAGGGGUAAAAUCCUUUGAUCUAUUGAUGACCACCUGUGGCGAAGGCGGUCUACCAGAACACGUCCGACGGUGAGGGAUGAAAGCUGGGGGAGCAAACCGGAUUAGAUACCCGGGUAGUCCCAGCUGUAAACUAUGCAAGCUCAGUGAUGCAUUGGCUUGAUGCCAAUGCAGUGCUGCAGGGAAGCCGUUAAGUUUGCCGCCUGGGAAGUACGUACGCAAGUAUGAAACUUAAAGGAAUUGGCGG
rnacentral:rRNA from 1 species